UCUGUACUCUAUUUCUCCAUAACUCCUUCAGAUCAUUGAUUAAAGAUCGUAGAUACAUAUCAAUUUCAUUACCUAAUGCUUUCGGACGUGGAAUCAAUAGUGACAUAAAAAUAAAUGAUUCUUUCAUGCACUUCCAAGGUGACACAUUAUAUGGUAUUAGCAUCACAGGCUACAUGUUGUAGGAAAUACUCAAAUUGUCAAAGAAACUAAAUCCAUCUAUUGCUAGACC
rnacentral:lncRNA from 1 species